rnacentral:rRNA from 1 species
GUACGUGAAACCGUUUAGAGGCAAACGGAUGGGACCGCAAAAGUCGAUCCGCGGAAUUCAACCUUUCGGUGUUGGGUCUGCCGGCGCGGGGUGUUCGGAUCUUUGAACGGCCCUUGCGUCGGGCGGCCGCUGGAAGGUGCACUUUCCGCGGACUGAGCGCUGCGACCGGUUUGCGCGGCGGCGAGAAGCCCCGGGAGAAGGUGGCCUCUGCCUCGGCAGUUGCUUUAUAGCUCUCGGCGGUCAUCGCCCGCCGCCGGACCGAGGAAUGGUUCUCUGCGCCCGCCUCUUA